rnacentral:rRNA from 1 species
GCAAGCCGUCAACUCGGAAAUUUACUGGGCGGUAAAAGCGUACUGUAGGCCGGUUCCGGAAAAGAAAGAUGUGAAAUUCCCCAGGGCUCAACCCUUGGAACUGCAUUUUUAAACUGCCCGAGCUAGAGUAUGUCAGAGGGGGGUAGAAAUUCCACGUGUAGCAGUGAAAUGCGUAGAUAUGUCGGAGGAAUACCGAUGGCGAAGGCAGCCCCCCUGGGAUAAUACUGACGCUCAGACACGAAAGCGUGGGGAGCAAACAGGAUUAGAUACCCUGGUAGUCCACGCCCUAAACGAUGUCAACUAGCUGUUGGGGCCGUUAGGCCUUUAGUAGCGCAGCUAACGCGUGAAGUUGACCGCCUGGGGAGUACGGUCGCAAGAUUAAAACUCAAAGGAAUUGACGGGGACCCGCACAAGCGGUGGAUGAUGUGGAUUAAUUCGAUGCAACGCGAAAAACCUUACCUACCCUUGACAUGUCUGGAAUGCCGAAGAGAUUUGGCAGUGCUCGCAAGAGAACCGGAACACAGGUGCUGCAUGGCUGUCGUCAGCUCGUGUCGUGAGAUGUUGGGUUAAGUCCCGCAACGAGCGCAACCCUUGUCAUUAGUUGCUACGAAAGGGCACUCUAAUGAGACUGCCGGUGACAAACCGGAGGAAGGUGGGGAUGACGUCAAGUCCUCAUGGCCCUUAUGGGUAGGGCUUCACACGUCAUACAAUGGUCGGGACAGAGGGUCGCCAACCCGCAAGGGGGAGCCAAUCCCAGAAACCCGAUCGUAGUCCGGAUCGCAGUCUGCAACUCGACUGCGUGAAGUCGGAAUCGCUAGUAAUCGCGGAUCAGAAUGUCGCGGUGAAUACGUUCCCGGGUCUUGUACACACCGCCCGUCACACCAUGGGAGUGGGUUUUACCAGAAGUAGUUAGCCUAACCGCAAGGAGGGCGAUUACCACGGUAGGAUUCAUGACUGGGGUGAGGUCGUAACAAGGUAGCCGUAUCGGAAGGUGCGGCUGGAUCACCUCC